rnacentral:lncRNA from 1 species
UUCUUCCAUCAUUAUCCCGUUUUCUCCAUGCUUGGUCCAACAAAUAUAGUUUGACAUAAAACCCGACUUCAACAAAUGUGAGUGAAUAUUUCUAGAGCUAGAAUAUUCCUUCAAAUUCUGACACAAGGCACAUGGGAAACAUAUGAAUCCAUCCCGCUUGUUUUCCUCGGCCACUCUUAAGAAAUAAUGCACACCAUCAAUGAAUUCUUUGGAGCGGCGAUCGGC